UCCAGGGUAGCCUAGUGGUGGACAUGGCAUCUGCCCGGUAAGCGGAACAUUGUGGGUUCGAUUCCCAUCCCUGGAC